CACGUAGGGGGCAAGCGUUGUCCGGAUUUAUUGGGCGUAAAGAGCUCGUAGGUGGUUCGGUAAGUCGGGUGUUAAACCCCCAGGCUCAACCUGGGGACGCCACUCGAUACUGCUGUGACUGGAGUCCGGUAGAGGAGUGCGGAAUUCCUGGUGUAGCGGUGAAAUGCGCAGAUAUCAGGAGGAACACCAACGGCGAAGGCAGCACUCUGGGCCGGUACUGACGCUGAGGAGCGAAAGCGUGGGGAGCAAACAGG
rnacentral:rRNA from 1 species